rnacentral:rRNA from 1 species
GAUGAACGCUAGCGACAGGCUUAACACAUGCAAGUCGAGGGGCAGCACAGGUAGCACUACCGGGUGGCGACCGGUGCACGGGUGAGUAACGCGUAUGCAACUUACCUAUCAGAGGGGGAUAACCCGGCGAAAGUCGGACUAAUACCGCAUGAAGCAGGGGUCCCGCAUGGGGAUAUUUGCUAAAGAUUCAUCGCUGAUAGAUAGGCAUGCGUUCCAUUAGGCAGUUGGCGGGGUAACGGCCCACCAAACCGACGAUGGAUAGGGGUUCUGAGAGGAAGGUCCCCCACAUUGGUACUGAGACACGGACCAAACUCCUACGGGAGGCAGCAGUGAGGAAGAUUGGUCAAUGGCCGAGAGGCUGAACCAGCCAAGUCGCGUGAGGGAUGAAGGUUCUAUGGAUCGUAAACCUCUUUUAUAAGGGAAUAAAGUGCGGGACGUGUCCCGUUUUGUAUGUACCUUAUGAAUAAGGAUCGGCUAACUCCGUG